AAAUCUCUCGAGACGACGGCCUUGCUGAAUUAUUCACCCGUGUCUUUUGCGUACUUCUUGUUUCCUUGGUGGGCUCGCCCACCACAAGGACAAACCUAUAAACCUUUUGUAAUUGAAAUCAGCGUCAGUAACAAAAUAAUAAUUACAACUUUCAACAACGGAUCUCUUGGUUCUGGCAUCGAUGAAGAACGCAGCGAAAUGCGAUAAGUAGUGUGAAUUGCAGAAUUCAGUGAAUCAUCGAAUCUUUGAACGCACAUUGCGCCCUUUGGUAUUCCAAAGGGGCAUGCCUGUUCGAGCGUCAUUUGUACCCUCAAGCUUUGCUUGGUGUUGGGCGUCUUGUCUCUAGUUUGCUGGAGACUCGCCUUAAAGUCAUUGGCAGCCGGCCUACUGGUUUCGGAGCGCAGCACAAGUCGCGCUCUCUUAACCAGCAAAGGUCAGUAUCCACAAAAGCCUUUUUUUCAACUUUUGACCUCGGAUCAGGUAGGGAUACCCGCUGAACUUAAGCAUAUCAAUAGAGGA
rnacentral:rRNA from 1 species